CGCGGUCCUCGGGGAGCCCCGCAGCCCCACGGCGCCUCCUUCUCCACCCCCAGCACCCCACUGGAGCGGUCGCCGCCGGGCAGCGCUCUUUUUGACGAGGAGAGCCUCCGCGGGAAGCGGAGCCCCGGCUGCGAGCUGCCCUUCCUGGCGCGCACCCCCUCGGCCCUGGCGCUGAGCGGCACCGCCAGCCCCGCCAACAGCAUCUUCUCCUCGCCCCGCCGCUGGCUGCAGCAGAGGAAGGGGCAGCCCUCGUCGCCCGAGCCUCGCCCCGCCGCCUACGUCGUGUGGAAAUCCGAGCCAUUUCAGUUCAUGCAACAAAGCAGAAGAGGUCCAGAUCCCUACUACACUGCCUCCCAGGAUGUUGUUCACAAAUCAGGAAGAGGAAAGUUGCAUGUAGAGGACUAUAUCCCCACUAAAGGUGAGACAGCAAAAUGAAAAUCAAAAUCCUGGACUCUGGAGAUUAGAGAUGGAGAUGUCAAUCUCUUGCAGUCCCUGAACUCCUGCUUCAGCAAGCUCCUACCAAUAGCCAGUUUGUUCUGUAGGAUAUGGCAAGAUGCUUUUUAUUACCUCUGUUGACAACCACUUCCUACUCUCCAUGCAUGCAAGAAGUUUUAUGGGCCCUGAGCUGUCACCUUCUCCCCCCUUUGAACUUGCAUCCUUGGAUGAAAUCUGGACCCUCUUGCAGACCUUCUUCCUUGCAUAUUUGUUUAAUUUCAUGCUGAGUUGACUGACUUCUUGCUCUGGACUUUGUCUUGAUGUGACCAUAUUUUGUUUUCAGUAUAAAAAGUUGCAGUAAACCUAUUUCCUAUUUUAUAGUUGUAAUUCUUUAAUUUAGUACAUUUUAAUGUAUCUGUCCAUUUUUUUUUUGGUGUGUAUAUAAUAUUAAAUAGGGAAGAAAAGUCAGGAUGAUUUGAAGGAAAGCUUU
rnacentral:lncRNA from 1 species